rnacentral:lncRNA from 1 species
GUGAUGCUUCUGACCAAGAACUUCACAGUGGCUUCAUCCUAUGCUUUCUAUGAUGAUAACAGGGUCCCAGAAAUGCCCGACUGCAAAUGGUAUUCCCUUCCAGGAUGUCCAAGAGACUUAAACCCUGUAUGUGGAACAGAUUCCAUAACCUAUGGCAAUGAAUGCCUACUUUGUCAGAAAAUUAGGCACUCCAUCCCACCCCCCAGUCAGGCCUUGCUCCACAGAGAGAAGUUAUGGACAUGUCAAGGUGCUCCUUGUUGACAGAAAUCCAAGAAGGAG